ACUAAAGAAUUCAAUGAGUAAAUCCAUCCCUUCCACUUCCAACGAACCUCGGUUCCUGAAAAAAUAAUGCUUUCUCUUUUCUCCUUCAUGAUUCAUCUCAUAUUCAAUGUAUUCGGAUGCAACUUUUAUCGAUUCACUUCACAUGUCAUCAAUGAUUUCUCUUUUUCCAAACCCGAGUCAGCACAUCAUCAAUUUCAUCCAUUGGAUUUCUAGGUUACAAUAAUGGCUUUUAUAGGACAAAAUUUUGUUAAGAAAAUCACUUAUGCAAAGGAGUCAUGGAACAUUAUCGUUUGAGUUAUUCUGUUAUGCAUUUGUACCAUAUAUGAAUCAGAAGCAGAAGUAUGGAAAUGGUUCUUGUGGAUGAGAAGGUUAGUUGUUGCUUCCUUUAAUUUUUCUUGGUCUAUUGUAUUAUAUGAUUUAUUCUUCGGUUUUAUUGUUUGUAAAUUCAUAGGGUGACAAAAUCCAAGCUUCUGUUAAAAAGGCUCUGCCAACUCGAUUUAAAAAUAAGAUUCAUAAGGGAGCUGCUUAUAAUUUUUAGUCCUUUGGUGUCGCCGCUAAUACUGGAGCGUUUAGGACCACAAAACACCAAUUCAAAUCAAAUUUGUAGAAUGACACGGUUGUUAAAGAAAUUGGAACUCUUUGCUCAUGAAAUUUGUUUAUAUUAUAAAAUCAACAUAUCAUAUUCAACAGGAAAAUACAUGAUUUUAAUUUUUACAUUUGAAAAUAAUAACUGGUACAAUAUUGUAUAAAGAAAUUAUUAAGAUUCAUUCUUUUUAA